CUUCACUUGUGGGACUUCAUCACCAGGAUAUACUAUUGGUGUGUAAAUAUAUACUUUAAUGGUUGCAGUUCCGUCAAAAGUAAGCCUACUCAAGUUUCUUAACAAACAAUAUUAUUGGGUUUUGGUACACUUAGUAUGUCUUGUAAUGUGACGUCAAAGAAAAUUAAUCUCUGUACACUAUAUAUAUAUAAGAAGCUUGUCAUAAUAUCCUGAAUAACUGGUUAGACACGUGUACAGCGACCUUUCUUAAAAACCUGGGCGUUCUUACAAUUUUUUAAAUACAAGAAAUUUUAUAGCAGAAGAAAGCAGUGUACUAUCGCAAUCAUCAACCUUGUUCUUUUUUUUACAAUGUGGGGAAACGAUAACAACUUUUCUAAUGAGCAGAUUGCUACCAUGAUGGCCUACGAUAUGAUAUUGGUAGAUUCUGCUAAUGUAACUCAGAACGGUCUAUACCCUGUUCGUGGCAUUGAAUAUGAAGAAGGUUAUUAUUUAUUAGAAGAGAGCAAUAAUGAGUUGUAUGAUGACAGACCUAAAUUUCCAGAAGAAGAAAAAACUGAGGAUGAAAAUUCUCCAGAGACUAGAUUGAUUAUACAUAUUUCGUGUUCGGUAAAGAUGAUUGAUAAGGAAAAGCACCUUACGUUAUUACUUCGUUUCGACGAUGAAAUGAAUAGACAUUUAACUUGUAAAGUCAGUGAAAAUGAAACCAGCGUUGAUCUUGCGGCAGAGCUUGUAAAAUAUGGACUUAUAAAUAAGGCUGAUCAAGACCAAGUUUCAAAUAAAAUCCAAGAAAAUCUUUAUCCAACUAGCUAGCAUUGACAAGUUUAUAAUCGAUAGUAUCGUUUAUAAACGUUAAUCGAUAUUAUCGUUUAUUGCCAGUUUAUUUACAGACAACAAACAGGCAUAGGAGGUUUUUCUAGAAAAUGAAUGGAUUUAUUAAAUAGAUGAAUGGAUUUAUUAAAUAAAUGAAUGGAUUUAUUAAAUAGAUGAAGAAUUUAUUAAUGAUUUUUUUAUAUUAAGAUUAUUGUAGUUGAGUUAUUAUUUGCAUCAAAGACUAUUAAAAU